rnacentral:misc_RNA from 1 species
AGCAGCCGCGGUAAUUCCAGCUCCAAUAGCGUAUAUUAAAGUUGUUGCAGUUAAAAGCUCGUAGUUGAAUUUCGGGGUUAGUAGGUUGGUCAUGCCCCUGGUAUGUACUGGUCUCACUGAUUCCUCCUUCCUGAUGAACCUUAAUGCCAUUAAUUUGGUGUUUUGGGGAAUUUGGACUGUUACUUUGAAAAAUUAGAGUGUUUAAAGCAAGCUAACGCUUGAAUACAUUAGCAUGGAAUAAUGAAAUAGGACGUUCGAUCCUAUUUUGUUGGUUUCUAGGAUUGACGUAAUGAUUAAUAGGGAUAGUUGGGGGCAUUAGUAUUCAAUUGUCAGAGGUGAAAUUCUUGGAUUUAUUGAAGACUAACUACUGCGAAAGCAUUUGCCAAGGAUGUUUUCAUUAAUCAAGAACGAAAGUUAGGGGAUCGAAGACGAUCAGAUACCGUCGUAGUCUUAACCAUAAACUAUGCCGACUAGGGGAUCGGAUGAUGUUAAUUUUUUAAUGACUCAUUCGGGCGCCUUA